GCCAGUGUGGCAUAGUGGUUUGGGUGUUGAACUAUGACUCUGGAGACCAGGAUUCGAUUCCUGCUUGACC